rnacentral:tRNA from 1 species
GAGGGUAUAGCUCAGUGUUAGAGUACAUGCUUAGCAUGCACAAACGAGGUCAUGGGUUCAAUCCCCAGUACCUCCA